rnacentral:lncRNA from 1 species
GAGGCAUUCCACACCUCGUCAUCCUUAAUGCAACAUCUGGUGAAGUUUAUACGGAAGAUGGAGUUGAGCUUGUGACUGUGCAUGGUACAGAAGCUUACCCUUUUACAACAGAGAGGAUCAAUGAAUUGAAGGAACAGGAAAAGGCAGCUAAGGAUAAUCAAACUGUUCAAAGUGUGCUUGGUACACCCACCCGCGACUACUUACUUUCGAACAAGGGAGAUAGGGUAAUGGCAAUUCUGUAUUGUCCUUUUACAUGAUUUUGCAGAUACAGACAUUCUUAGCAGUUUUCCUACUGUUGAUUCUUCCUAGGUACCCAUCUCUGACCUUGAGGGCAAGUACGUUGGUUUGUGCUUUGUGGUGAAUGGCUAUGGCCCAGUAGUCCAAUUUACCUCAUUGCUUGCUAAAUUUUAUGAGAAACUCAAAGAAGUAGGGGAGAAAUUUGAAGUUGUAGCUGUAUCCUUGGACAGUGAUGAGGAAUUAUCCAAUGAGAGUUUUGCAGGCAUGCCUUGGCUUGCCAUCCCUCAGGAAGACAAGAUGGGUGAGAAGCUGGCUCGUUAUUUUGAGCUUAGAGGCCUGCCUACACUUGUCCUGAUUGGUCCUGAUGGGAAGACACUGAACAACAAUGUUGCUGACAUAAUUGAUGAGCAUGGUCAAGAUGCAUGGGAAGGGUUUCCUUUCACUGCAGAGAAGAUGGAAAUUCUUGCUGAGAAGGCAAAGGCUAAAGCAGAGUUACAGACCUUGGAGUCCCUUCUGGUCAUUGGUGAUUUGGACUUUGUGCUUGGAAAAGAUGGAGCAAAGGUAUGUGUUAGUUAAGCUUGGUUACAUAGACUAAAAUAUCCUCUCUUUUUUCCACUUGGAAAAUUGUAUGCAAGGUAAUACCUUUAUGAAGUAACUCGAGCAAAUUAUGCUUGUUACAGCAUUGGAGUAAAUAUAUACUGUCCUUCAUUGCUUAGUUUAAAUGAAUAUGAAAACAUCCAAUUUUGUUGCUUGAAGUCAUCAGGCACACUCUAUCACCCUUUUCCCAACUAUGUUUUGAUAGAGCGCAAUUUGUCAUGGUGGUGAAUAUAGGUAUGAAAGGAAUAUUCUAGUCCAAAAGGAGAUGUUAAUUUAUACUGGCAGCUUGGGAUAUUCUUGCAGUGGUUUUUGCCUACAGUUGGACAUGUUGUUUACCUCUAAAUUUGUGAUUAGUACCUGAUGAAGAUUAACAUCUGCUAUUUCAAUGCGAAGGUUCCUGUAUCAGAACUUGUUGGGAAGACUGUCCUCCUCUACUUCUCAGCUAAAUGGUGCGGACCAUGCCGAGCCUUCCUGCCUAAACUUGUCGACGAGUACAACAAGAUCAAGGAGAAGCACAACGACUUCGAGAUCAUCUUCAUCUCCAGCGAUCGAGACCAGAGCUCCUACGACGAGUUCUUCUCCGGCAUGCCAUGGCUCGCUCUUCCCCUGGGUGACGAGAGGAAGCAGCACCUGAGCAAGACCUUCAGAGUCCGCGGGAUCCCUUCGCUCGUCGCCAUCGGCGCCGACGGGAGGACGGUGGCCAGGGACGCCAAGACCCCGCUGACGGCCCACGGCGCCGACGCGUUCCCGUUCACGGAGGAGAGGCUCCUGGAGAUGGAGAGGAAGAUCGACGAGAUGGCGAAGGGGUGGCCCGGGAAGCUGAAGCACGAGCUGCACGAUGAGCAUGAGCUCGUGCUGACUCGCUGCACCACGUAUGGCUGUGAUGGAUGCGACGAGAUGGGCAGCUCGUGGUCGUACAGGUGCAGGGAGUGUGACUUCGACCUGCACCCCAAGUGCGCGCUGGGGAAGGAGGAGGAGAAGAAGGGCGAUGACGAGGCUGAGGCUGAGGCUGACCCAGCAUGCGAGGGAGGCGUUUGCAGGAAGGCCUAAAAGAGACUUGUUCUUCCACUGGUUAUCUACUGCUGAUUUAAGCGUGCCUGGAUGUUUGGAUGUGAAAUUAGAGAAUUAUGUAGUGAGUAAUAAAUAUGGUUUUGUUUACAAAGUAGUGGUAUUGGGGUUGCUGGUACAUUGGUAUUUGUGUUGAUGAACAUUAGUUGAGACCAGAGCUUUGGAUUAUUCAUUAUUAUGUGCAAACCAAAACCAUAUGUAAGUAUGAGUCCGGAUUGGUAAUUGGGUAUCUUGAAUCAUGUUGUGAGUAAUAGAUCUUAGAGCAGUCAGAAAUCUAUCUAUAUUAACUUAUUAAAGAAAUAGAAAAAGGAGCCUCCACGUUCGCUCUCACGGUCUAAAAAUUCUUAUAUUAAUCGGAGAAAAAGAAAACAAAGUCCAUAUAAAAAUACAAUUUAGAAAUAGUUGAAAUUCGGAAUUAAAAAAUAAGAAACAUUGUAAGAGGAGACUAGAGUCCAUAUAGAAAUACAAUUUGUAAAUAACUGAAAAUCGGAAUUAAAAAUAAAGAAUAUUAGAAGAAGAGUUAGAGUCUAUAUAGAAAUACAAUUAAUAAAUAAUAGAAAUUCAGAAUUAAAAAUAAGGAAUAAUAGAGGUAGAGUAUAGAGUACAUAUAGGAAUUUAAAACUAACUAAAAUUCGGAAUAAAUAUAAUAAAAUUAAAGUAGAGUUUAGAGUCCGUAUAAAAAUACAAUUUAUAAAUAACUAAAAUUUAAAAUUAAAAAACAUGGGAAUAAGAGUCUAAAGUCAAUAUAGGAAUACAAUUUAGAAGUAACUGAAAUUCGAAAUUAAAAAUUAAAUAAUAUUAAAAGAUGAGUUUGGAGUCCACAUAGAAAUACAAUUAAAAAUAAUAAAAAUUCAGAAUUAAAAAAAUAAUAUUGGAAGAAAAGCACCUAGAGUCUAUAUAGAAAUACAAUUUACAGAUAACGAAAAUUCGGAACCAAAAAAUAAGAAAUAUUGAAAGACGAGUCUAGAGUCCAUAUAGGCAUAUAAUUUAGAAAUAACUAAAAUUUGAUAUUAAAAAUAAUUUAUAACUAACACGUAUAUAAAAUACAAUAUGAAUAUUAAACAUUAGUAGUUUUGUAAAGUUAGUACAAAAUUUAAAAUUAUAUUGUCAUUUUAAUAUAUUUGAAUAAUACAUUGAGAAAACAUAUAUACUAUUAUGUGUAAAAAAUAUAAUAAUACUAGCCGCGCAAUUUGCGCGGGCCACCAUGCUAGUUUAGGUGAUGUUGAUAGCAGUGGACAUGAUGGAUCCAUGGCAAGCUGUAGAGGAUAGAGCUAAGGUGGGUAUCUGAAUGAGGCAUUCAUGACAAAGCAGGCAGAGCACAACUUCCCCUCGAAGAUCCACCAUCAGUGGGCAAAGAGAACACAACCAACCUUUCAAAAUCGCUCAUCAGGGGUUUGGAUCAUGACCGACACUGACACGUAGGUUUUUUUUUAAAAAAAAAACAGAUUUCUGAAAUUUCGGUACUAUUUUUUGUCCGAAACAAUUUGAAAUUUUGAAAAAAAAUUAAUGAAUCUGAAUAAGUUUUGACCUAAUUCACAAAAUUUUGAAAAAAAGAGGAAAAAUUUCGGAUGAGAUAUGUGGUUGCCAGUGGGGGACUAAAUUUCAGAAAUUUCGUUCUUAAAUUGCAAUCACUACCAUAUGGGCUCACCAAUCUUGCACCUUUGCUCACUAGAGAUGAUGACGACUGGCAUGAUCUCCUCACAAGUGGAUUUGGAGCACUCCAAGCCAUCGGCGUUAAGGGCAAACCCGAAGGCCUAAGAGAGUUGUUCUUUCACUGGUUAUUAUAUUAUCUUCUGACGGUUGAAGCGUACCUGAAUGUUGGGAUGUGAAUCAUGUUGUGAGUAAUAGAUAUGGCGUUGCUUACAAUGGAUUGGUAUUUGUGGUGAUCAACAUUGGUUGUGACCAGAGCUUGGAUUAUUGUGUGCAAAACCAUAUGCGAGGAUAAUUUCAGAUUAGUAGUAAUUAAGUAUCUUGAUCUGCUUAGUGUUACAGCAGUUUUGAUAUCAAGAUCCUUUCUCAAUGACCGUAGAAGUACCAAAUUCCUAUGAGAAAUUUCUCAUAGGAAUAUGGUAAUUUUACCAUCUUUGAAGUCAUGAAAGCUAACAGAUUUUUGGAUGGAAUGCUAAAUAGAGAAAUGGAGGGUAACUUUUAAUGCUAUUAAAGUGAACUGCAACCUUUGAGUGCGAAGUCGUAAAUUUUUGAUACUACAGAACCAAUUUUCCCUUAAAACGAAUGAAGUGUUGCCUAUAGUUAUCGUAUUAUAUAUUAGUUGUCGAUUAAAUGGCAUGACAAUAGAUUGGAGCCAACAGUCGACAUCAUUAUUGAUCUUGUUCUAAGGAGGCAGGUGGCAGGGGCCUCCCGUUGUUGGAGUCAUGGAAUAUAUACACCCUCUGUUAAAAAAAACAUUUAAGAAUAAAUAUAUAUAUGGGUAAUCCUAAAAGUUCUGUUUAAAUGGAUGGAUGUAGUGGUUACCAGUACUAUAAGAUAUACUGAAUAAUAUACUCCCACGUACAUGUAUGCAUGUACUCCAUCCGUAUUUUAAUUUAUGACGUCGUUGACUUUUUAAUAAACGUUUGACCUUUUGUCUUAUUAACAAAAUUAUGUAAUUAUCAUUUAUUUUAUUGUGACUUGAUUUAUCAUCGAAUGUUCUUUAAGUAUGACAUAAGUAUUUUUAUAUUUGUAUAAAAAAAUUUGAAUAAGACGAAUGGUCAAACGUUGGUUAAAAAGUCAACGGCGUUAUACGUUAAAAAUACGGAGGGAGUAGUAUCUUGGUAAUGUAGAAUAGCUUGGUACUUGCUCCAUAGGAGCAAUUGUACAGCCACAAACUCAGGAAAUUGUAAGCGAGCAUAUAAUGCAGAAUAUACCGCCUUCCUGGCGCCGUUUAUCGUGGAAGCAAACAAAAUAAAAGAAAGGAAGACUUGACCUUAACCUUAGCCAAAUAAUCUUCCAGGAAAUUGCACGCGCCCAUGACAAGCUACCGACGAUGCAUAUGUUGCGCUCUGUAAAUUAAAAUUGUGUACUGGAUGAUCAUGCAUUUUAUGAUUGUAUUAAAAAAAAAGAAAUGUGCAUUUUAUUAAGGAAAGAGAGAGUUCCUUUCAAGUUUAUAAAAAUUUAUGGGAAAGUGAUUUCAUCCCUAGAGGGGAUAUACCCUCGUUUCGUGCCACCUAAAUAGUCAUCAAAAAAUUUUAAAAAAAUUGGCAACAUAGAUUAAUAUGAAAUAUAUUACUCCACGAACAUAUAAGUUUAAAUUUAACUUCUACAAGUUAUAAUAAAAAUAACUAUUUUCAGUUAAAUAUAGCUGCGAAUGUACGAUAACUAUUUUCAAUUUAAUUUGUUCUUUUUGUUGCAACUUGUAGAAGUUGAAUUUGGUCUUGUAUGUUUGUGGAGUGAUAUAUUACAUUUUAAUCUAUCCUGUUAUUUUUUCUAUAUUUUAAUAACUAUUUAGAUGACAUGCAAACAACGAGUGGAUAUUCUCUCGAGGGAUGAAAAUCCAUGUCCAAAAUCUAUGGACAAAUGUAUAGACUAGUAGUCCCUCUGAAUUUUACACAUAAAUAAAAGUUGCGUAUGCCGUUGACAUUGAGGCGUGCAGCAGGAUGCCCUUCCCAGUUCAGUUCCCACAUGAUUGGCGCGUGGGAGGUGUGGUGAUCGAUCGCCAUGCGCGGAUUUUCUAAAGAAAUCAAGGAGCCGUAUAAUAAAACGGGCUUGAGCUUGACAAUAAUGCAAGCCAAAACACCAAAGGCCUUUGGAGUAUCUCCCAAAUUCUCGGGCAUGCUAAGGACGAAGCAGGCGCAGUUGGCCGGCCGGCUCUCGGCCGGUCACGUAACUGGCGGCGACGACGACGACACCCACGGCUUCGCUGCCGCGGCGGUUCGGCGCCACCUUUCCUUCCGCCGACCCAACCAAACGCACUACUCCCUCCGCCUCCGCCUCCGCUCCUCAUCCCCCACUCCGCACCACUCCCUCCGCCCCCUGCUUGCUCGCACUCGCAGUCGCAGUCACAGCGCUUCCCCGCACAACCGGAUGGCGGAGGUCUCGACCUCCACCGACGACGGCGGCGGCGGCAUUGCCACCAUCCUCGCCGCCGCGGACAGGGACUUCCUGCUCCGCAACUCUGCCGACCAGGUCGACCAAACCAACCUCUUUGCGCACUACCUCUGUUCUUUUGCUUUGUACGGAUUUGCUUGCUGCUGCGAUCAUGCGUUCGUUUUUCUUUUUCUCUGGACCGGAGUAGAUCCGAGUAUGCUGCCCCGAUCGAUCAUCGACGUGUUGUUUGCUUCUCUUUUCUUCUCUUCUUAUAUCUUUUCUUUUGUUGAAAGGGCAUGUGUGUGCAAACUGAAAAACAUAGUUGAGUUUAUGACAAAGUGAUUCAAUUUCAACACCCAUAUAGAAACGUCGAUCCCUACCGGUUCAUAAUUGGCAUCCACCAUAAAAUAAAAUACAAUUUUGUCAACAGACUCAACACCCCUUUUACUUCAUAGGAAGUAUAAAAUAAGAUCCAUGUUUUAAAAUACAUUGGGUCCUUGGUCACUGCUCGCCCGUGAAAAAUUGAUUUCCACGGACUGUCGUCUUAUCGCGGAUCUCUUUAGGAGACUGUUUUGUAAUGAAAACAAAUGAUUAUUGUAAUUGUGGUCAACUCAAUUAACAUGGAAAGAUCUAACUUAAGUUGCUACUAGAAGUAUAUUAAGCUUGUUCCAAUACUUUUGUCCAAUAGUAUGGUAGGUUUGAACACAAUGCUGGCUAAGUUGUAUCAUUGUGUUCUCCUUCACUUCCUAUUUAACAAAAUAAACUAUUUAUUAAUGGACUUUGCUUUUUUUUUAUUGAAUAGGAGUCUGCUUAACCAUAAAAGAUACACAACCUAUUUUGAUGUAAUCACUACUCCCUCCAUGCCAUAAUAUAAGGCGGGCAUAUAUUUCAAGAUUCAAACUUUAAAACAUUUGACCAACACUUAUAUAUAAUAUAAAAUAAAUUUUAUUUGUUAAAAAUUAUAUCAUUAGAAUGAGAUUUAAAUUUACUUUCAUAUCACUAUAAAAAACAAUUUUUCAUGGCGGUACCCUAUUUUUUUUUUUUUGCUGGUGGUCAUAUUAGAAAUCCGCUUGUGAAAUUCUAACGAGGGAUAGAGGGUUUAGGACCGCUAGGGAAAAUCCAUUUUCGCUAGCGAUGAGUUUAGGACCGCUAGUGAAAAUACAUUUUCGUUGGCGGUUGCUUAAGAAAUCCGCUUGCAAAAUAACCCGUUUUUUCCUGGCGGACUUCUUAACCUACCACCAGCGAAAAACGGAUUUUCGCUGCGCAGGUACUAAAGAGCACCGCCCUUGAAAAAAAUCACGCUCUUAAAAAUAUCACCGCCCAUUUAAAAAUCAGCACCCACCACUUCUUAUCCACCUACCAGUCCUUAUCCUCUCGUUCCUCCUCCUCCCUCCAAAUCUACCCUCUCCUCCUCCCUCCACCACCAGCGAAGAUCUUGAUAUCCCCUGGCCUUUUCUUUGUGGCGGCUCCAAAUUCCGCCAGCGAAAAUCUAAAAUGGCCGCCACGAAAGAUGGUUUUCGUAGUAGUGUAUGGUUAUAAUUUUAUUGCUACAAACCUUAUAGUAUAUGAGAAAUUAUAAGCUAAAGAUUAGUUUUGGAUACCGUGCCAACUUUGACCGCAUCUUAUAUUAUGGGAUUGAGGGAGUAAGAGAGAAAACAUACAUUUAUAAUGGAAAGUCAUAAAGAUAAUAAUAAUUAAAAUUCCUGCAAUUUAUUCCCUGAUCUUACCUCGAUCGAUUUCACCAAAGUUUUCAAAUCAACGCACUUUAAAAGAACCAAGAGAGAAGAAACUAACAUUAAUGAUACAAAUAAUUCUGUGAGCGCAGAGGACAACAUGACUUAACUAAUGAAAAUUUUUUGAGCUUCGUCACCUAUGCAGUAUGCAAUGAGGAGUGAGGAUAGAUAGUGCAAAAAUGAACAAUUCAGUAUAAUCUAACAUGAAUCAUAACAAUGAGAGGCACGGGCAGAUCAGAACAAAUUCUGCAUUGCAACAGUCAAAUGCUGCCAACAAACCGAAAAUGAUUCUUCCUGCAAUUCUGCAUAAAAAUGGCAAAAAAAUAAUGAUAAAAAUCAUAACCAAACCAGCAAUAUACAACUAAAAAAUAUAGAUGCUACAAUAUGGACUAUUGCAAAUGAGAGACGAACCUUCUCCACCUCCUUUGUACUGAACUGUGAAUGCCAUCAUGGAAAAAUAAGCUAAGACAAUUAGUUCACCCAUUAGCUCCACAAAUGACCAAAUGGGCAUGGAGAUGAGAAUCGUUGUGGAUGGAAGAGGCCGGGCAGAGAUAGUAAUUACCGUGUAAGUGAAGGGUGAAAGAACAAUAAAGUGAUGGUGUUGUAGUUUAACUACCGAAGCUGAAGGGACGACAGUGUGGUCUGAACUCUUUGGAUAGCUGCUCUUUAAUUUCUCUACUCGCAUUCAGGGCUGGAAGAAAAAUCUUGAUGACCAAUAUUGAUCGAAUGGUCUAAAUUUGGUGAAUCAUGCGUUCCGUAGCCAUCUCUCUCCGACCAACCUGUUCUGUCUAGAGAAAGGUUCUAUCGAGAGAAAGUUACGGUCACUUUAGUGAUAGGCUCGAGUCGGGUUUGCUUAGCAUCUCAGGAAGGAAUGACCUGCGAACAGAGGGCCUGACAGUAGCAACCGUGCAUAGGGGUGGCCAUGGGGCGAGUUAGGGAGGGUAGGGCCAGAACACGCUCCUGACCUGCUCCUGACCCUGAACUCCAACUUAGAGGCAAAGUUGCUCUCACCCCUGGCCGGGGCCCCGUAGGGGAAGACAACCAAAACUAAGAAUAUGAGGCAAUCCACCAACACCGGCCGCCGCUUUUAGGAUGGAGGGAGAGGAGAUCGAAGGUAUCUACCGGCUAGCUGACAAGCUGGAACACAAGGGUGCGAUAGACACUUGAGAGAAGGUCGAACGAACUCCAAUUGUAGAGCUCAUGGCGGUGAACUGGGAGAUGCUUCCUGCGACGAGAAGAGACGAACUGAGAAGCGGUGAUUCCCACUAGCGGAACCAUGUGCGAGCUGGAGUGUCAGGAGUGAUAGGGGCGAUGUGAGAGGGCGGCGUCAGGACUCAUAAAUCGCGAGAAGCCCAUGAAAACGCACGGGGGUGGGGAACGAUCAGGGACUGAGUUGAUCUAUGGUUACUUGUGAUGUAUAAGUGCUCCAAUGAGUUGGGCCCAGUGGGCUUUCAUUUGAAAUGGGUUAUUAAUUGGUUUUUUUAUUUUGCAUUUUCGGACCCCUUGGUUCACCCGUGAGUGAAACUGCAAACUCACCCGCAGCCCAACUCAAGAACAUGGCCCUACCCCGAUUACUUCACGAGUGGAUAAUUAGACCCGACCCCGGCCCCGUAGGGACGGGUCUCCACCCUUAACUGGAAAUUGCCACCUCUAACCUUGCAGGCAAUGAUGUAUGUCUACGUUGUGAUUGUUACAAAACAACAGGGUGAUCUCAUCCAUAUAAAAGGAUGGAUAGGCGCUCCUUAGCAACGGACGCGAUGGUUCCCAACCAUCGUGUCUCCGGUUGCCACCCCUUCCCCAUCUAUAUAUUGUACCGCAUUGAUCAAUAAAGGAUUCCGCUCAUUCAUUCCCUACAUUCUUGUGUUAAAUUCUCUCUCUCAAUCUCUCUCGCUCAAUCAAUUUUAUACACUUUCAACACGUUAUCAGCACUUUCGCUCUCGCGAAGAUCGCGAAGUGAAAGAAGAAAGAAACAUCACUUUUGAUCUAACAGAAAAGUGAAUAGAAGAAUCAACAGAGAAGGUACGAUGCCUACCUUUCAUUGGAUCAUGGAUGCCGUUCUCGGCCUCCCUCGCCAUCAGCACCCACGCCGGCUCCGCUAUCUUCUUCGUCGACCGAUGAGGAGCACACACCGGGGAUCCCGCGGAGGCAGGGCUAGGGUUGGUGGCCGCCGCCACUACCCUCGCCGCCGUGUGACUGCAACUCCGGUUGUGGUUCCCCCGCCCGUCCCUGUCGCGCCUCCUCCUCCGCCUUCGGUUACCGAAGCACCUCGCCGGAUCCUUGUGCAGGGGGUGCAGUACUGUGCCUACCACGGAUGGACUGCAGUGGUGACACUGCCCGGCGAGCCAUGCGAUCUUCCCCCGGAGAUGGAGUCGCUGCCGCCACCAUCAACCGCUCCUCCACCACCUCCACCGACACCAAGCCGACGCCAACGCCAACGCCGUUCCCCCACUCCCGCGCCACUGGGGUCUGGCCGGACCGGUACCCUGGCUGCGCGCACGGGGGAGCCGCCCUUCUUCAAUCCGUCCUCGUCUCGUCGUCACGCCGAUGAAGCCGCCGCUCGCCGUCCCGGCCUCCGCCACACCUUCAUUGCCGUUCCCCAUGGCUUUCCUAGCCGUACACUCCCUAACAGGGUGCCGGGGAAUGGCGUCCGGGCACGGCCGGCUUCCGACUCCGACAAGGAUCGGGAGCCGUCGGCCUAAUCCGGCCGGCCAACCGCCGGCGGACGGAGGGGCGGCCGUGGCGGCAGUAAUGGUCCUGUCACUACAACAAAAACAUUAUAUAAAGACACUUUUGUAGUGGCAUUUUACAAAUUGCCUCUAAGAUCAAGAGUUUUAUAGCGUAGAGACACUUUAUAGAGGCACUUUCAAAAUUGUCUAGAAAAUUUUUACUCUAGAGACACUUUAAAAAUAUUCUCAGCACAUUUUAUUAGAUUUUAUCUUGUAGAGACAUUCUUUCGGCACUUUAAAAUGUAUCUAACAUGUAAAGUCAUUUGCUUGAGACACUUUAAACUCUGUAGAGACACUUCUUACAAUAAAAGUAUAAUAAAUGGCUAAAUAUAAGUAACUUAAGGCAUAAACAUAUACAAUGAAUGACAUGGGGUUGAGUUGGUUAGUGCCUUGAAGAAAAGAAUGAUUUGUUCAAGAGAUCAUGAGUUCAAGGAUUGGCAAAAAUAAGAGAAAAUAUUUUAUUCUCAUUUUCAUAUUGGUUUCAUAUGGUUGUGGUACAAUUUAAUGUCUCUAGAAAAUGCCUCUACCACCUUAUAGACAUUUUAUAAAAUGCCUCUUCGUUUGUAGAGACAAUUCACCAUAAGGCACUUAUUAGACAUUUUUUAAAAUGCCUCUAUAGUAUUGUAAAGGCAUUUGAAAAGUGUCUCUAUAUAGUACUAGAAAAAUGUCUCUACAAAGCAUAUUUCUUGUAGUGUGUAGACCACUUAUGUUAUGUGUUUAUUAACAUAGGUGUUUAUUUAAAUACCCUGUUUCACUAAAUUUAUUUGUUGUCUUAAUAACAUGCCUUUUGCAUAUUAUUUCAAGACACGCUCUACUUUCUCGCUUUAUUAAUUUACAAAAUUCUAUAAAUUUUGUACUUUGAUUUAGCAAAUUCUCUUAAUUAUGUACAACAUAAUUAUUGGAGGAUUUAAUGCAUGUUUCACUUCACACUUUGACUUGGAAAUUAAACACAUGUCGAUGGAGUCCUAUACUUUGGUCAUAUCGACCAUAACUUAGGCAGCGAGUAUCUCGCCCAUCAUCAAGUGGUCUACAUUUUGAGAUGAUUACCUGAUGGAGUCCUACAAAUUGGCCGCACUGGUCAUAACCUAGGCAGCGAGCACCUCGCCCAUCUCACAGAGGUCUAUAUCUCACGAUGAUUACCCACAUGUGUUAUUUUCCAAGAAUAAGUUUUGAAAAAUGAGAUUAUUUGAAUUUUGGUUGAGCACAAGGUAGUGGAGUCCUAAACUUUGGUUACGGUAUAUUCAACAGAAUAUAUUUGCCUGGAGACCGUGUUUUAGGCAGCAAGUAUAACUUGCCCACUAUUAAGAGAUCUACUCCACUAUUUAAUUACUUGGAGAUUAUCCACAUUGUGCCACCUAAUUUCGAAUUCUAACUCAAAUUGUCAGGUCUAUUACCUGCAUUUUUUUUCGAAACAUUACAAAAUAUGAAGUCUUACAUUUCGCAUUGAGAUUACAACCUUAAUAUCAUGUUUUUAUUAAUUUACCUCUGUAAAUUGAUAAUGUUAACCAUGAUUGUAGGGACAUGGCAACAAAAGAGUUCGACGAACUCACCCUCGAUGGGACUAACUAUCCCAUCUGGGCUUCUGAUAUCAAAAUCAAUUUUGCCUCUCGUGGGAUUUUAAAUACAAUUGAGGAACCCAAUGAUGGGGACCCGGAAAUUGAGCCCAGGAAGCUCAAUACAGCCCUUUUUCUUUUGAGACUCUACAUUCACAAGGAUCUCAAACAUGAAUACAUGUUAGAGACGAGCCCUCUCAACCUUUGGAAAGCUCUAAAAGAGCGUUAUGAUCAGCAAAAGGAACUCAUUUGGCCUGAGGCUAAUUAUGAGUGGGUUCAUUUAUGCCUACAGGACUUUAAAACUAUGGCAGAAUACAACCAUGCUGUUCAUAACAUUGUUCCAGGUUGAAGUUUUGCGAACAAGAGCCAACGGAGGCAGAGAAGAUAGAGAAAACUCUAUCAACUAUGCUUCCGGAGGACAAGUUAUUAACUCAACAGUAUCGCGCUAACAAUUUCCAGAAACAUUCUCUGCUUAUACAUACAUUGACUCAGGCAGAAAGACACCAUUAGCUUUCUUUAAAGAAUGCCCAACAGUGCCAACCGGGCUCUGCUUCACUGCCUGAGGUGCACUUCAAUGUACAGAAUAAUGCUGAGAAUAAGAAAGGAUUCAAAGAAAAUUCUUCGAAUAAUCCUAAGAAUCUGACUAGAAAGCGCAUACGCAACAACAACAGGCGCAAAUUCAAGGGUCGAAAGAAAGGAAAAGGGAAGGGUUAGGCACCACAACCUCGUAGCAAUGGCAACAAGCAUUGCAACAGGUGUGGAUCUGACACUCAUGUCGCUAAAGACUGCCGCAUCCCGAAACAUCUUGUUCUCUUGUACCAAAAAUCCCUCAAGGACAAAAAGUCUUCUGAGAACCCAAGAUUUGAAGCCCACUUCAAUCUUACACAUGAAGAGCGCCCUGAGGUUGCAAGUUCUCACCAGGCUCCUGUUGAACCAGAGAGCAACCUCAAUGUUCUCCCAGAAGAUGUCGCUCCACUCUCUGUGAUAGACGAUAUGUUCAUCAAAUACUGCUCAACGGACCCACUUGGAGAUUUGCAAUGAUCUUGGUGCGUCCCACUUGGAGAUGAAGCUGCUCUUAUCUCAGUGUGCUUGCAUUGAAACAGUAUAUUGAUAUCCUAUAAGUUUGCCAAACAAUAUUGGUUGUAAUAAGUAGAUAAGUACGAACUCUCUUAUAUUGUAAGGUUGUAUGGCUUGCUAGUCAUUAGAGUAUGUACUUUUAACAUAUGUAAACGUCAUACUAUGUAUUUGAUGUUUUAAUUAUUGUAUGUAUGUGUUUAUAUUGGAUAAAGAAUUCUUAAUCAAGCAAUUCUUCUUUCAUUAUAGAUGUCUAAUGAUAUCGCUCCGAUUGGAGAGGAAUUAUGUCUUGUGGACAGUGGUACCACAAACUCUAUACUUUAGGAGAUCAAAGACUUUCAAACUCUCAAAAAGAGAGAAGGCAAAGUUUUGACUAUCGCUGGGCGCGAUACUGUGAUAGUUGGCUCAGGACGAGCAAUUAUUACACUCCCAAUGGGUACACAAAUUACAAUCGAGGAUGCUUUAUUGUAUCAUGAUUCAACCCGUACCCUACUAAGUUACAAAGAUAUCUGUCAAAAUGGGUUUCACAUUGAAACCCAUAUGGAUAAUCGAGAAGAAUUUCUUCUCUUAACCAAACAAAACGGAUAUGGCAAACGCAUUUGCGAGAAAAUUCCAUCUCUCACAUCGGGAUUGAACUAUACAUACAUUAAGCCCAUUGCACAUGUUGCGUACAAAGUAAUUUUUCAAAAUGUUGAUGCAUUCCACACUUGGCAUGAUCGACUUGGGCACCCCGGUAUCGGGAUGAUGAGAAAAAUUAUUGACAACUCUAUUGGUCAUCAUUUGAUCACUGACAAAUUUCCCAAAUCCUCUGAUUUCGUAUGCACUGCAUGUGCUACUGGGAAACUGAUUUUGAGACCAUCUUAUCUCAAAAUUAGAGCCGAACCACUUAAAUUCCUUGAACGCAUUCAAGGAGAUAUCUGUUGCCUUAUUGUGCCAAGAUCUGGACCGUUCAGGUACUUUAUGGUUUUGAUUGACGCAUCUACUAGAUGGUCUCAUGUGUGUCUUCUAUCGACACGAAACCAUGCCUUUGCCAAAUUAAUGUCUCAAAUUAUAAGGCUGAAGGCAAAUUACCCUAAACAUAGGAUUCAAUUAAUCCGUAUGGACAAUGCUGCCGAAUUUACAUCCCAUGCUUUCGAUGAUUAUUGUAUGGCAUUGGGAAUUCAGGUUCAGCACUAUGUUCGAUAUAUCCACACACAAAUGGUUUGGCUGAAUCAUUGAUCAAAAGAAUUAAGCUUAUUGCUUGACCAUUAUUGAUGAAUUGCAAAUUACCUUCGUCGUGUUGGGGUCAUGCAGUUCUGCACGCUGCUGACCUUGUCCAACUACGACCAACUGCAUAUCAUGAAACUUCCCCAAUGCAGUUAGUACGUGGAAAUCCUCCAAGUAUUUCCCAUUUGCAAAAGUUCGGUUGUGCUGUAUACAUACUGAUCUCACCACCACAGCGUACUGCUAUGGGCCCACACAGGAAAGUGGGGAUCUAUGUGGGAUUCAAAUCUCCAUCGAUCAUAAAGUAUUUAGAACCCUUAACAGGUGAUCUAUUUACUGCCCGGUUCGCUGACUCUAUCUUUGAUGAGGAACAUUUCCCGGCAUUAGGGAGAGACUUCAAGUACCAGAAAGAAUGCCAGGAAAUUGAUUGGGAUGUCCAAGGUAUUCCCGCCUCAGACCCACGUACUACUGAAACUGAACUUCAAGUUCAGAAAAUUAUACAUUUGCAAAGACUUGCAAAUAACCUACCAGAUGCAUUUACCAAUUAUAAAGGUGUGACUAAAUCUUUCAUUCCCGCUAAGAAUGCGCCAGAAAGAGUGGAGGUACCAAAUAAAACCACUCAACUUCCACUCACUAAAAAGAGAGGAAGAAGUAUGGCCACUCAGUGAGAAACAAUUGCUUAUAAGCAAAGAAAGACGGUAAAUGCAAACCAACCUUUUGUUGGUACACACCAAAUUGAUACUAUAUAUCAAGCAGAUCGUGAUAGUCUGCAACCUAGCUCGGUGGUGCACAAUGCUGAGACUAGGAAUUCGGAAGACUAUAGGCACAUUGUUUCGGGAAAUCACGAUGAGUCUAUAAGGGUUUAUGAAAUUGCCAUCAACUACUCUGAAACUGGAGAAUUUUUUGAUAGAAGAGCUACAAUUGUCGACAUUAAUUUUUUCUGAACAAAUUGCUGAUUGCCUCCAAGUUGAUCCAGAACCUAGGUCUAUAAAAGAGUGCCAAAAGCGCUCUGACUGGAACAAAUGGAAGGACGCAAUUGACGCAGAAUUAGCCUCGCUUUACAAAAGAGAUGUAUUCUCGGCUGUAAUGCCUACUCCUCAUGGUAUCUUUCCUGUGGGAUACAAAUGGGUUUUCGUCUAGAAACGGAAUGAAAACAACGAGGUGGUGAGAUAUAAAGCAAGGCUUGUAGCACAAGGUUUUACGCAAAAACCUGGCGUUGAUUUCAACGAAACUUACUCUCCAGUUAUGAGUGGUAUAACUUUCCGAUAUUUAAUAUCAUUGGCAGUACAAAAUCGUCUAUUUAUGCAGUUGAUGGACGUAGUGACAGCAUAUCUUUAUGGGUCACUUGAUUAUGAUAUUUACAUGAAGGUUCCUGAUGGAAUCGACAUCCCGAAUCAGAAGGUAAAUCAUAACAUGUAUUGUGUUAAGUUGCAGAAGUCACUUUAUGGCUUAAAACAAUCGGGCAGGAUGUGGUACAACCGAUUAAGUGAGUUCCUUUCACUAAAGGGAUACACUAAAAACGAUGAUUGCCCGUGCAUCUUUAUCAAAAAGUCCCCCACAGGAUUUUGUAUUAUCUCGGUAUAUGUCGAUGAUCUCAACAUCAUUGGCAAUACACAAGAUAUUAAUGAAGCACGUCAUCAUUUAAAGACGGAAUUUGAGAUGAAGGAUUUGGGUCAAACCAAAUUUUGCUUAGGUCUACAACUUGAGCAUUUACCUUCUAGAAUCCUUGUGCACCAAAGUGCAUAUACCUAGAAAAUUUUGGAAAAAUUUAAUAUGGACAAGUCAUAUCCUUCCAAAACCCCUAUGGUGGUUCGAUCUCUAGACGUGGAGAAAGAUCCGUUUAGACCAAAAGAAGAUGGUGAGGAUGUACUUGGACCUGAUUUUCCAUAUCUUAGUGCUAUUGGCGCACUUAUGUACUUUGCAAAUAGUACGAGGCCAGAUAUUGCUUUCUCGGUAAAACUAUUAGCAAGAUACAGCGCUGCUCCUACCAAACGCCAUUGGACUGGAGUUAAGAAUGUCUUUCGAUAUCUUAAUGGCACAAGAGAUCUUGGACUUUUCUUUAAAAAGAAUCAGGAUUCGACUUUAAUUGGGUAUACUGAUGCUGGCUAUCUAUCUGAUCCCCACAACACCAGAUCACAAACAGGAUUCGUAUUUUUACAAGGUGGAACUGCUAUUUCAUGGAAGUCUUCUAAACAGACUCUAGUAGCCACUUCCACAAAUCAUUCUGAAAUAAUUGCAUUAUAUAAGGCAUCACGUGAAUGUGUAUGGCUUCGCAGUAUGGUUAACCACAUAUUAACAUCUUGUAGUAUUGGUUCAUUGGAAUCACCUACCAUUAUCUAUGAAGAUAAUGGCGCUUGUGUUGUUUAGAUGGAAACUGGUUAUAUUAAGAGCAACAUCACUAAGCAUAUUGCUCCCAAAUUAUUUUAUCCUCAUGAGCUUCAGCAACAUGGAGAGAUAAACAUCUUGCAAACUAAGUCAUGUGAUAAUCUUGCUGAUUUAUUCACAAAAUCUCUACCAUACUCCACAUUCUUUAAAUGUGUCGAAGGAAUUGGUAUGAGACGACUUAAACAUUUGCAGGAUUCAGGGGGAGUAUCUUCCUCUGGAAAAUAACCUAUUUUCGUCAUAUUAUACUCUUUUUCCUUUGUAUGAGUUUUACCCUUUAGGUUUUCUCAUCCAAACUUUUUAACGAGGUAAUAUCAAUAUAAGCUUAUAUGUCUUAUCAUUUGGCUUUUCCCCACUGGGGUUUUUACUAAAUGAUAAUUGUAGACAUUAUACUAUUUUGGAUCAUACUAUGAGCUUUACUCAUAGAUCUAAAAUAGUCAAUAAUAUAUAUCACGAUUCUCUCCUUAUUUUUCCCACUGGGUUUUCGAGGAGUUUUACGUGAUGUAACUAUAAUUAUUUCUAAGAUUAUCUUAAUUUACAGAUAUCUGGAACAAUGAAAGAGCAAUGAUCAAAGCUGGAUUCGAUAAAGGGGGAGUGUUAUGAAACAACAGGGUGAUCUCAUCCAUAUAAAAGGAUGGAUCACAACCGAAGGCAACCGCGCCUCUUCCCAACCAUCGCGUCUCCGGUUGCCACCCCUUCCCCAUCUAUAUAUUGUACCGUAUUGAUCAAUAAAAGAUUCCGCUCAUUCAUUUCCUACAUUCUUGUGUUAAAUUCUUGUGUUAAUUUCCGCUCAAUCAAUUUUAUACACUUUCAACAGUGAUAGCAUUGGGCUUGGUAUAAACUUCUACAGCUCAAUCGAGAAAGCAUGAGUAGGGUUGUUAUCCUUCAAAGGCUUGAACCUGGUUAAAUCUAUUAUGUUUGUUAGUUAGUUCAGUGUUAAACUAGCGCAUUCCAGUGAAAUAAAGCAAAUUGGACUCUGAUCAAGAUUUGCUUACGCGGUACAUACUUUAAAAUCAUACUUUAUUUUUGAAAAAAAAAUCACCGUGUUUAGCAGUUCAGAAAGUGUACGUGUAAAAAACGAGAGAGUAAAAAUUGAGAAUAGAUGGUGAAGAAGAUAGCUCCGGUUCUUACAAAUGAGUAAUUUAUCAGGUUUCACGUGCACAUAGAUGAGGUAGCUAGUACCCAUUCGUUCUAAAAUAAAUUAAUAUAGUAUAUAAAUCUAUACACGGUUCAGAUUUACUAUCUCCAUCAGAAUAUAAGUAUAAUUAUGGGUUUCCUUGUCCAACGUUUAACCGUCCGUCUUAUUUAAGAAAAUUAUGAUUAGUAUUUUUGUUAUUAUUAAGUGAUAGAACAAACUUUUUUUAAAAAAGUUUUCAUAAAUUUUUUAAAUUAGACGGACGGUUAAAUAUUGGACACGAAAACCCAUAACUGCAGUUAUAUUGGGAGGGAGGUAGUAUAGUACUCCCUCCGUUUCAGGUUAUAAGAUAUUUUGACUUUGGUCAAAGUCAAGCUGCUUCAAAUUUAACCAAGUUUAUAGAAAGAAAUAGUAAUAUUUUUAACCCAAAAUAAAUUAAUUAUAAAAUAUAUUUAAUUAUUAAUUUGAUAUAACUAAUUUGGUAAUAUAAAUAUUACUAUAUUCCUCUAUAAACUUAUAAACUUAGUCAAACUUAAAACAAACCAAAGUCAAAACACUUAUAACCUGAAACGGAAGAAGUACUAACAGAGUAGAGUAGUUGUGUUAUUUGUGGACUAAGGCUGUGUUUAGUUGCACAGGCAAAAAAAAAUUACUGGAUCACAUCAGAUAUAUGGACACAUAUUUAAAGUAUUAAACAUAGACUAAUAAUAAAACAAAUUACAUAAUCCACGUGUACACUGCGAGACGAAUUUAUUAAGCCUAAUUAAUUCAUCAUUAGGAAAUGUUUACUGUAGCACCAUAUUGUCAGAUCAUGGCGCAAUUAGGCUUAAAAGAUUCGUCUCGUAAUUUACACGUAAACCGAACUGUGUAAUUGAUUUUUUUUAAUAUUUAAUAUUCCGUAUAUGUGUUCAAACGUUGAAUGUAAUGGGAAAAAAAUUUUGCCGGUGGAUCCAAAACCCCCUAAAAAAUAAUCAUCAACUUGUGGUUGUGCGGGCCAAGUUGCCAACGUUAAUCCAUGGCGGUAAGCAAAGGCCACUCGCAGCUUCACACUGUGUGACGCCGAUGCCAUGACGCAAACACAUGCUAUGGAUGGUGAUGUAAUCUGUCAGAUUAAGUAAUUCUCGUAAUUUUAUUUGCGUGGGAGCGGUUUUCCAAACAACUUGCAUGUCAACUAGCAAGUCUGUGAGCAACGCUGCCUAGCUAUUAGUUAGCGACGACACAGAGCAUCGAAUCUUGGCAUGCCACUAAUCUCUGCACGCCACAAAAUUAAUCAAUCGAAACAGUCAACAGUUUCAGACAAGCGUUUGUACUAUACUUAAUUACAACUCUCUCCGUCCCAAAAUAUAAAAAAUUAAUCGUCAAUAGUUUCAGAAAAGAGUUUGUACUGUACUUAAUUACUACUCCAUCCGUCCUAAAAUAUAGCAACAUGUGACCCAUAUGGACAUAUGGGGUGCACAUCCCCUCCUAGGUUGAGUCCACAUGAGUCACAGGUUACUAUAUUUUAGGACGGAGGGAGUACAUGUUAUCCGCACAAACCGACCUUUGCAGUAAUAUGGAGUAUUUAUAAGGGUUUCCGUUGUGCUAUGCACACAGACAAACCUCGUGUUGUCUCUUAAUACUAUCUCGUUUCAUCAAACGCCUAUGUUACUACUUUUUGGUCCAUCCGAAUUACCUCUGCGUUCUGCCUGUAAAAGUUCUUGAUGGAAUUUCCAGGUUGACUGAAUAGUUUUUCUUUAAUUCAAAAAUAGUUCUUUUUUUAGCCAACAACAAAGGUACUUCAUAGAUUUUUCCUCAGAAAAAAUGCGGUCGGCCUUUUUUUUAAGAUGUAUAAACCGAAAAGUUUAAUCCUAAAUAAACAAGCAGCUUUCAUGUAGCUUUUUUAAAGUCAAAACUAACUUUUACACUGUGAAGCUAAAAGUUUCUUUUUUACUUAUGUGAAGUGGAAAUUUGUGUGGCAUGGUUCAAAUUUUUCCUAUAUUUAAUUGAGACUUCAAAACCACCCGCUUAUAAAACAUUCAAACAUAUAAGAAAAGAUUGGCAUAAAAAUCGAAACCAAUAAAUCUAAACCCGAACAAAGGGAGCCUAAUUUGCUGAUGCAAGAGCCAGCUGGAGGCUGGAUGCACGGGAUAUCUUCUCUAUCUUUUUUUUGAACGGAAAAACAGCACUAGAGUGCCUUUUUAUUGAAUAGAGCAGAAGAAAAUACAACCCCUUGGGGCAAAUGAAAACGUUGAACACUGUAGCUAUGCUCUAUACAUAGUGCGGGAUUAACUCGCGCAGCCGCUUAGCCCCUGCUAAAGCCCAAAGGCUAGCCUCUUCUUUGAUUCUCGACAGGAGGAAACUCGUUGCCACCUCUUUGUGGUCAAAGAUUCGCCGAUUUCUCUCAUUCUAGAUUUCCCAUAUGACUAGCAGGAUGAGUGAUCGGAGCCCUUUUUUCGGAACAUUUGGCGUGUUUGCAAGGCUCUCCCACCAUUGUUGAACUGACUAUGCCUCCUCCCAUUGAGCUGACUCUAUCUGCUGAUAGCCCACCCAUCCAGCAACAAGGCCCCAUAUUCUUUUGGUGUAUCUACAAGUGGCAACGAGGUGCAGCACCGUCUCAGCCUCACAGCGGCACAGAGGACAACAACCGUUGUUUUGCCAACCCCUGGUCGCAAGUCGAUCUGAAGUCCAGACUCUAUUUUGGAUGAUGAGCCAAGCGUGAAAUUUGCAUUUCCCCGGCACUCAAACUUUCCAGAUUAAGGAGUUGAAGCUUGUGCUCGGCGUUCCUUGGCAUUGCGCAUGGUAGGCCGAGGAGGCCGUGUAGCAUCCGCUACUUGUGGAUUUCUAGGUAAUCUGGUCUGGUUCUCCAAUGCCUAAGUGAACAUUCUGGACCGCUUACCACAGGGCAACUAGUUGUUCGACGAGGUCUACUGUAAUAGGUGAGUGCGAUUCCAGGGCCAGGUCCUGAACGCAGGCGUCCUCCUCCUUUCCAUUUCGAAGAGAUCUCCUCUGUUUUUAGAGAUCGCAUAGACUAGCGGCAUGAGGUCUUUGGGUCUUUGCCCCUCGAUCCAGGCGGAGUCCUAGAAGCGCGUCGUGUUCCCAUCUCCAAUUGUUAUCUUUGUUGAGGCGGCGAAAAGAUUCCUUUCAAUUUCAUCGCAGGGCGUUUCUAGUCCCACCCAAGGUUUGGUUGGGUCCUUCCACUCGUGCCAUAGCCAUCGCAGCCUCAAGGCCCUCGUGAAUUUCUCCAGAUUUAGGACUCCCAAGCCUCCCUAACUGGUUGGCAAUCACGCCUUUGUCCAGUUGACUUUACAUUUCCCUCCGGUGAUGUCUCCCGUGCCGGCCUAGAUAAAGCGACGGCACUGGUUUUCUAGCUGCUCGAGGGAUUCCUUCAUAGUUUUCAAGGCAGUCAGGAGAUAGAUAGGCUAGGCCGUAAGCACAGAUUUGACGAGUGUGGUUCUUCCAGCUGCUGCCAUGUUUUUCCCCGUCUAAUUUGUUAUCCUUCCUAAGAUUUUGUCGAAGACAGGCUGCAAAUCCGCCUUCCGUAGUUUACCCAAUACCAAGGGGAGGCCCAAGUACUUUAUGGAGAAGUUUGCCCUUGCCGCCGGGACGCCCUCAAGAACCUCUGUCAACUCAAUGCCGUCACAUCUGAUGGCCGCCACUUGGGAUUUCUGAAGGUUGGUGACGAGUCCAGUGGCAGUGCCAAAGCGAUGUAGGAUAUCUACAAAAUCUGUGACAUCGCCUCGGGUGGGAUUAAUGAAGAUGACGGCGUUGUCUGCAUACAUCGAGAUCCUUAGUCGGGUCGUUCUCCCCCGCAACUUUGAGAUUGUGCCGAGCUCUGCUGCCUUGGAGAGGAUUCGCUGCAGGGGGUUAAUUGCAAGUAUGAAUAGCAGUGGUGAGAGGGGGUCCCCUUGCCUAAGGCCUUUGCCAUGCUUGAUCCACUGCCCUGGCAAGCCGUUGAGGAGUACUUGAGAGGUUGAAGUUGACAGAAUAGACCCUAGCCAAUCUAUCCAUCUUGUUGGGAAACCCCUUCGCUGUAGCAAGGCUAGAAGGUAGUCCUAGCGGACUGAAUCGAAGGCCUUAGUUAAGUCUAGUUUGAAGAGCAACAUUACCCGCCUCAGGCGGUGGUGUCUUCUGGCCAUGUUUCUCACAAAAAGGAAGUUGUCAUGAAUGCUUCUUCCUUUUAUGAAGGCGCUUUGGUUGACCGAAAUCAACGUAUGCAUGUAUGACCUUAGCCGCACCGCAAGCAUCUUGGAGAAGAUCUUGGCGAUACUGUGAAUGAGGCUAAUUGGCCUAUAGUCCACGACCCCCUCGGCCCCUUCUUUUUUUUAGGUAUUAGGACGACGUUCGCGGAGUUGAGCAGAUUCAGGUGUGCACAUCUGAGGUUGCAGAUGGAAUCGAAGACCAGAAGAAUGUCCUCUUUGAUGAUUUCCCAGUAGACUUUAAAGAAGAUCCCUGUGAAGCCGUCUGGCCCUGAGGCUUUGUCGGUGGGCAUUUCCUUGAUGGUGCACCUCUUGCUCUGAGAAGGGCUCCCCUAGAGUGGUUAGGUCGAUUGGCGAAAUGUCGAGAGCUUCCCAAUUUGGCUCAUUUGGCCUUGGCUCCGGCUGCCCCAUUAUGCUUGCGAAGUGGUCAUGAAUUGUUGCCUCCUUCUCCUCAUGCGUCAUCGCCCAACCAUUGUCCUUCCUCAGCCGUUGAAUGGUGUUCUUUCUUCUUCGCACAUUCACUUUAAGGUGGAAGAACUUUGUGUUUGCGUCGCCUUUGCAGAUGUGGGUUACCUUGGAGGCCUGCUUUUUCCUUGCCCGCUCUAUGGAGGCAAGGCCAAGGAUCUUGCGUUUGAGGGUUGCUCUUAGCCUUGUUUCUGGGAUAGAGAGGUCUCUGUGCUCUUGGGCUACAUCCAGCGUUUGAAUGACGUCAAGGGCCAUAUGAAACUGAAGCUUGGCCUCGGUGCAGAUGCCUUUGGCCCAUUCUCUAAGGCAGGCUGCGGUACGUUUAAGCUUUUCAUUUAAGCGAGUAUAGGCUCAAUGUGUGACAAAGGCUGACUCCAGGCAGCCUUGACCUUGUCUUUAAAUCCUUGGAUCCUUGUCCAAAAAUUCUCGAAUUUAAAGUUUCUCGACCUGCGCGGGCAUUGCGGGUUGGACAGGAUGAGGGGGCAGUGGUCAGAAGGCCCUGUGGGGAGGGCGUGAAGGACUUGACGGGGGAAGGCAAGGUUCCAAGUCUCAUUGCAGAAGCAACGGUCCAACUUGACGAGGGUGGCUCAUUGCCGCUCAUUACUCCAAGUGAACCUCCUAUUUUGCAAGGGAAUCUCAUGCAGCUCAGCGGUCAAUGGUUGAGCGAUAUCUUCUCUAAUUAACCCAACCAUUUGAUUAGGACGACGUCAUCACUUAUCUUUAAGGAGAUUGUAAUAUACAGUCAAACAAAAUGAAUAAGAUCGAGUAGAGUAAUAAAAGGUCGCAGAGGCCAAUGUGAAAAGGAAACAACAAAUUAAAUCAAUGAAGGCGCAUACAUUUCUUGGCAACCAAGCUUUCACAUCCACGAGUCAUCACCCUGUUUAUAUGUUUAUAGGAUUAAUGUAUAUAUUACCCAUGUUUUGUAACAAAAUUUUAACUAAAACAAAUAUCAUUAAAAUAUUAUUAUCAUCAUUUUCUAUAUAUAUCAUCCGUUAAUUUCUUCGGGAUAUUUUUUUUAUUGAUAUGUACAUUGUCUCGCCCUACACUGUCUUUUUUUUUCUUCCACAACAAAAUAGAGAGUAGGCGAUGGGGUGUUUGAUAUGUAGGGUGUCACAAUAUUUUUUAUUUCUAAAAAGAGUAGGGAGUUGAUGCUUAGGUAAAGUAGUAACAGAUUUAUCACUCACCACCGUCAUUUACUUCCAUUAAAUGAGUAUUGAUAUAUAUACUCCUGAUAAUAAUUGUGUCAUCCUAUUUUAUUUUCAUUAUGAGAGCAAUAUAGAUGUGUAGAGAGGACUACAGUUUUUUUUAAGUAAGUGUAUUUCGCAUGUUUAUUUAAAAAUGAAAAACAGGAUAUGAAUAUUACGGCAUAUUAGCGAGCUAGAACACAUGGUUCGCGAAAAGAGGAUGGGGAGUAAGAUUACAACGUCAAAAAGGGAUUAAAAAAAACAAUAGCGGAGCCAAAAAAAAUUCUAUUGCGCGUUAAUGUUAGUGGCGGAAUCAAAAUUUAAAUAUAAUACUAUGGAGAUUAUGGAUACCCCAUAUCUACAUGGCAGUUAUAUUCCAGCUGGGUACUGGGUGCCGAAUAGAGAUAGAAUAUCUUCUUGAGGACCCGGGUUAAAUUCUAAACUUGUAUGUCAAGGAAAUACUCAGGAUCCUAGUCGGUUACGAUUGUAUUUUAUCUAUAAUCCCAUAUUCCGUUAGGAUAUGGACAGUAUUUUGUAAAGCGGACCUCUUCCCCUAUAUAAGAAGGGAUCUGUGUGCCUCUUGGGGUGUGAUCUUUUUCCCAGUUUAUACAAUCAAUAACACACUCGGCGGAAUCAUCCCCGGACAGGAGUAGGGUAUUACUUCUUGAAUAAGAAGGCCUGAACCUGUAUAAAAUUCCUUGUCUCCAAACCCAUCCACUUUCCUAGCUUGAUAGCCACCCCUUUUAUUAUUGCCGAAAUCUUUUUUCGACAGUUGGCGCGCCAGGUAGGGGUUGCGUCAAGUUUUUGCCGACUAAGUGCGAUGGGUUCCAUCUCCGGCAUCGACGACUUCGCCUUCCCUCCCGGGCAGGCGUUUCGGUUCGGCAGCCUCAACUUCACCACCAACGACUUCCGCAAGAUCUCUCUCCUUGACUAGGAUUCGAACCAGUCUGGGAGAAACCAGGUCCCCGUGCCGUUUGGUAUUCCGAACUCGGCUGAGGCCUACUCUAAGAUCAUCUCCCCCGAGUCGGCUCCAAACCACUCGGACGAGAUCCAAUCUACUCCUCCGCGACCAGAUCAAGACGACGGGCCCUAUCCCUCAAUCCUGAUGAGACUUCCUGAUGAUUUGGCCGCUGUCUUCACAACCAAGACAUCUCCCACUCGAAGAUCUAGGCAAGCUCCGGCUUCGGCCCCGAUCCAAUCUAGAUCCAGAGAGGUUGGCGUUAUACUCCAACCUCUUGGGACAGUCUCGACGGAAGAGUUGGAUAGCUACCUUAGCUCCCCUGGCGUCAGUUCUUGACCAACCGAGAUCCUCGACUGCGACGACUUCGGCUACCACUAUGACCACGGCGACUUCGACGACAGCUAUGAGGAUAACUAAACGCCUCUCUUUUUUGGCGUAUUCAUGGCUAACAACGAAACGGAGGAACAGCGCCGAGCGCGAGAAGCGGAGGAAGAGCGCACACGACAAGAAACCGAACGUCGCCGACUGGAGGAAGAACGACAACGACAGGAGCGGGAACGACUACAACGUGAGCAGCAAGACCGCGAGCGAGUUGCAAAGGAGGCUGAAGAUCGACGGCAGCGCGCCUUGGAAUCCGGGCGACAAGCGAGAGACCUCAUCGGGCAACAAGACGUCGAUGGAACAGCGGUUUUUCGCACCCCCUAGCAGAACGCGGUUGCAGCAAUCACUCUCCUCGACACCCUCCUCAAGGAAGACACACUCAACCAAGCUGAUCAUGUUGUCAACAUCUUGAACCAAACGAAGACCAUGAUCGCUACCUCGGUUCCAGCCAACUCCGCAAGCACCCGCACCCCGACUGGUAGCCGAGUCCCUCAUCUUCGAUCUCAAGACUAUCACCAGCCAAGCCUCAGCAUUACCGGCGCCGGAUCUAGUCGCAGGAGCAGGGGACAUGAUGAACUAUCUGUUCGUUCGCCUCCUGAACGAUACAGGGAGCGCCGAGUUGAACGACCACACUCACCACAUCGAAGGUGCCCCGUCGAUCUUCGCGACACCAUCAACCAGCGCCGCGCGGCAAGAGGCCAUCAUUCACCGGAUCGCUACGACGACGACAUGGACGGAGUUGCUGCCUUCACAAACGAUCUGCGUCGAGUGGAUUGGCCAACCGGCUUUAAGCCGACUGGAAUCGAGAAAUAUGAUGUUACCACCAACCCCGAGUCUUGGCUCACCGUCUAUGGUCUCGCAAUCCGCGCAGCAGGAGGAGAUAGCAAAGCCAUGGCGAAUUAUCUACCUGUGGCCUUAGCGGAUUCUGCCCGGUCAUAGCUUCACGGGCUACCCCGCGGCACAAUCGGAUCAUGGGCAGAACUACACGACCACUUUAUCGCCAACUUCCAAGGCAUUUUCGAACGCCCUGGUACACACUUUGAUCUCUACAACAUCAUUCAGAAGUCUGGAGAAUCCCUUCGAGAUUACAUCCGACGCUUCUCCGAGCAACGCAACAAGAUCUCCGAUAUCACCGAUGACGUCAUCAUCGUCGUCUUUACUAAAGGCAUUCGCCACGACGACCUAGUCGGCAAGUUCGGACAAAAAACCUCCCAAGACGGUUAAGCAGAUGUUUGAAAAAGCCAAUGAGUAUGCCAAAGCCGAAGAUGCUAUCAUGGCGUCCAAGCAGUCGGGCACCACUUGGAAGCCAAAGAAGGAUACGCCGACCACAGGAGGGAGUGGAAGUAACAACCGCAAGGAUCGCAAGCAUAAGCCCGAAGAACUUGUGGCAACAACCUCUCCAUCGUCCCGACAACGUCCCCGCGUCAACACAUUCGACAAGAUAAUGAACUCCCAAUGUCCGCAUCAUCCCAACUCCAACCACGUGGCCAAAGACUGCUUCGUCUACAAACAAUUUGCGGAGCAAUACGUCAAGAAUGCACGUAAGCCCUCAGACGGAGAUCAAAGCACGUCAAAGAAGAAAGAUGAUGAAGACGAUGCCCCGACUGGUUUUCAAGACCAUCGCAAAGAACUCAAUCACAUCUUCAGCGGACCUCUGGCUUAUGAAUCUAAGAGAAAGCAGAAGCUAACAGAACGGGAGAUCAAUGCGGUUCAGCCUAACACGCCCCAAUACCUUCGGUGGUCAGAGAUAGCAAUUAAGUUCGACCGCUUGGAUCAUCACGACCGAGUGGUCCACCCGGGGCGGUACCCCCUGGUACUAGACCUAGUGGUUCGCAACGUCAAGCUCCGAAGAACUCUCAUCGAUGAUGGCAGUGCACUUAACAUCCUUUUCGCUAAGACCCUGGACGAUAUGCAGAUUCCUCGCACGGAAUUAAAGCCGAGUAAUGCACCCUUCCAUGGUGUUAUCCUAGGAUUAUCAGCUACACCACUCGGCCAGAUCACUCUUCCGGUCACUUUCGGCACUCGGGAGAAUUUUCGCACAGAAAAUGUUUGUUUCGAAGUCGCUGAUUUCGAGACAGCGUACCAUGCUAUACUCGGACGACCGGCUCUAGCCAAAUUCAUGGCCGUCCCACACUACACCUACAUGAUGAUGAAGAUGCCUGGUCCUCGAGGAGUCAUAUCACUACGGAGCGACAUCAAGCAAGCCGUCACAUGCGACAAAGAAAGUUGCGAGAUGGCCCAAAUCUGCGAGAUCACCCUUGCUCGCGAAGAGAUCUGACUGGCUGCGACCACGGCAAGCGAGGGAGAAGUGCCUGCAACCAAGCUGACGAAGACCGAAGAAAGCGAUGCUAAGACGAAAAAGAUUCCCUUAGAUCCCUCUGAUCCUGAUAAGACUGCUGUAAUAGGCGCUAAGCUAAAUUGUAAAUAGGAAAGCGCGCUCAUCACCUUUCUUCAAAAUAAUAAAGAUAUCUUUGCAUGGAAACCAUCCGAUAUGCCUGGUAUUCCUAGAGAGGUGAUUGAGCACUCUUUACAUGUUAAGGAAGACGCCAAACCCAUCAAGCAACGACUCCGCCGUUUUGCAUAGGACAGGAAGGAUGCGAUCAAAGAGGAAUUAACCAAGCUGUUAGCAGCGGGCUUCAUCAAGGAAGUCCUUCAUCCCGACUGGCUGGCUAACCCAGUCCUAGUUUGGAAGAAGACUGGGCAAUGGCACAUGUGUGUCGAUUACACCGACCUCAACAAGUCUUGCCCUAAAGAUCCUUUCGGGUUACCUCGCAUUGACCAGGUGGUUGACUCAACGGCCGGCUGCGAGUUACUCAGCUUCUUGGACUGCUACUCGGGAUAUCAUCAGAUCUGACUAAAAGAAUCUGAUUGCUUAAAGACCUCGUUUAUUACGCCCUUUGGGGCCUACUGCUACAUCACCAUGCCCUUUGGAUUGAAGGACGCAGGAGCAACCUAUCAACGCAUGAUUCAGAGAUGUUUCUCAACUCAGAUCGGCCGCAAUGUUGAAGCUUAUGUUGAUGAUGUAGUCGUCAAGACUAAGCAGAAGGAUGACCUGAUCACGGAUUUAGAAGAAACUUUUGCAAGCAUUCGUGCUUUCAGGAUGAAACUAAACCCUGAAAAGUGCAUCUUCGGAGUACCGUCAGGGAAAUUGCUCGGAUUUAUGGUAUCUCAAAGAGGCAUACAGGCCAACCCGGAGAAAAUCAACGCCAUCCUCAACAUGAAACCGCCAAGCUCUCAAAAAGACGUCUAAAAGUUAACUGGUUGCAUGGCGGCGCUCAGCCGGUUCGUCUCACAACUCGGUGAGCGGGGGAUGCCCUUUUUCAAGCUGCUGAAGAAGACUGACGAUUUCCAGUGGGGACCCGAAGCACAAAAAGCCUUUGAAGACGUCAAGAAACUUCUCACCACUCCGCCAGUUUUGGCCUCGCCGCAUCCACAAGAGCCGCUACUGUUAUAUAUGUCGGCGACCUUCCAGGUCGUGAGCACGGUCCUGGUUGUCGAGCGUGAAGAGGAAGGCCAUAUUCAAAAAGUCCAACGACCAAUUUAUUUCGUUAGCGAGGUUUUAGCUGACUCCAAGACAAGAUAUCCUCAGGUUCAAAAGUUAUUAUAUGGUGUCUUAAUUACCGUCAGGAAAUUAUCUCACUACUUUCAAAGUCACUCGGUCACGGUGGUCACAUCGUUUCCACUCGGGGAUAUACUUCAUAACCGCGAAGCAAACGGACGGAUUGCGAAGUGGGCCUUAGAAUUGAUGUCUUUGGACAUAUCGUUCAAGCCACGAACUUCGAUCAAGUCACAAGCUUUAGCUGAUUUCCUUGCCGAGUGGACCGAGUGCCAAGAAGACAUGUCAGAGGAAAAGAUGGAAUAUUGGACUAUGCAUUUUGAUGGGUCGAAGAGGCUUACAGGCACUGAAGCUGGGGUCGUCUUAAUUUCCCCGACUGGAGAAAGAUUGAACUACAUAUUGUGGAUACAUUUUUUUGCGUCCCAUAACGUGGCGGAAUACGAGGCGCUACUCCACGGAUUAAGGAUUGCCAUCUCUCUAGGCAUUCGCCGAUUAAUCGUCCGUGGAGACUCUCAGUUGGUUGUUAAUCAAGUCAUGAAAGAGUGGUCAUGUCUAGAUGAUAAUAUGACCGCUUAUCGACAAGAGGUACGCAAGUUGGAAGAUAAAUUCGAUGGACUCGAGCUCACCCAUGUCCUCCGACAUAACAAUGAGGCAACCGACAGACUGGCCAAAUUUUGGUUCAAAACGGGAAGCAGCCCCUUCUGAUGUGUUCGUUGAGCAUCUUUAUGAACCAACUGUACCCAGAAAAGAAACAAUUGAAGCCAUGGAUACUCAAGGCGUAAGCAUGAUCGAAGCCGACUGGAGAGAACCUUUCAUAAGAUUUUUGACCAAACAAGAACUCCCUCAAGACAAAAAUGAAGCCGAGCGGAUUUCCAGGCGCAACAAACUUUACAUUAUUCAUGGGACUGAGCUGUACAAGAAAAGUCCAUCAGGAAUACUGCAGCGCUGUGUGUCUUUGGAAGAAGGGAGACAAUUGUUGAAGGAUAUACAUUCUGGUAUUUGUGGUAAUCAUGCUGCUGCACGGACCAUUGUCGGCAAAGCUUACCGGCAAGGUUUUUUCUGGCCUACAGCUGUGUCUGAUGCUGACAAGAUUGUGCGGACAUGCGAAAGUUGUCAAUUUUUUGCCAGACAAAUUCAUCUGCCAGCCCAAGAGUUGCAAACCAUCCCGUUGUCCUGGCCGUUUGCGGUCUGGGGGCUUGACAUGGUUGGCCCGUUUAAAAGGGCAGUUGGCGGUUACACGCAUCUCUUUGUGGCUAUUGACAAAUUCUCCAAGUGGAUUGAAGCUAAACCGGUCAUCACGAUCAUAGCAGAUAAAGCUAGAGAUUUUUUCAUCAACAUUGUGCAUCGGUUUGGGGUACCUAAUCGGAUCAUCACUGAUAAUGGCAUUCAAUUCACUGGCGGAGCAUUUAAAGACUUUUGUGAAGACUUCGGCAUUAAAAUUUGCUAUGCCUCCGUGGCACACUCCAUGAGUAAUGGACAAGUCGAGCGUGCCAAUGGCAUGGUACUUCAAGGGAUAAAAGCACGAGUUUUCGACCGACUACGUCCCUAUGCUGGCAAGUGGGUAGAUUAGCUGCCGUCCGUACUUUGGUCUUUACGCACUACUCCCAGUCGGGCUACCAGCCAGUCGCCGUUUUUUUUUGUUUAUGGUGCAGAAACAAUGUUGCCGAGUGAAGUGGAAUUUGAAUCACUACGAUUUCAAAACUUCAACGAGGAACGCUAUGAAGAAGGCCGAGUAGACGACAUCAAUCGACUAGAAAAAGCCCGUGAAGCAGCUUUAAUUCAGUCGACUCGGUAUUUGCAAGGGUUGCGCCGUUAUCAUAAUCGGAAUGUUCGAUCGCGAGCCUUUUUAGUCGACGACCUGGUUCUGAGGAAAAUUCAAACCACACAGGAUCGGCAUAAAUUAUCUCCCUUGUGGGAAGGACCGUUCAUAAUUGCUGAAGUCACUCGGCCAGGUUCUUAUCGACUCAAGCGCGAAGAUGGUACUCUUAUCAACAAUUCUUGGAAUAUUGAACACCUUCGUCGAUUUUAUGCUUAGGCAUUUCGUUUGUAUCUUUUCUCUUUGACUGCUAAUUUCAAGCUUUUCCUUGAAGUUUUCAGUCGAGGGGCUACCAUGAUAAUAAUGGAGUGUGAUUUUUAUCAAUUCAAUUUGCUUACUUGAUUUAUCAUUGCUCUGCUUGGUCUUUCGACUUAGUCAAUGAGGACUGAAGGUUUUUAAUAAGCUUUUGCGGGUUUUAGGCUCAAUAAGGCUUGACAAAGGCUUUUAAGAAAUCAGAAGCUAAGUAUGGAACACUAAGCAUAGCAUAAAUUUAUCAGUAUUGUACAAAUUGAGCCUCCAUCAUCAUUAAUCAUCAAAAUCAUUGUUGUAUCAAUCAGUAUCAGUUUUUUCAUCAUCAGAAUUAUCAGACCCAGUCGGCCGAAAGUCAACAUCUUGGAAUCUCUCAACCACGUCAGCAGCAAUCUUGUCAGCGGCUUUUUGCGCAUCAUUGAUGAGGUCAAGAGCAGCUUCUUCGCUCGUUCCGUCUGCAAAGCCAUCAAUGGCAUCAAUGUCAACUCUUGGAUAAAGGGAUUUGGUCAUCGCCAAUGCCAGACUUGCUCCCAUACUUCCAGCUUCUUUAAUGUUCUUGAAGUAAGUAUCCGGAGCGACUCUCAGCUUGUCGAAGAUUUCGGCAGCAUCAAGUGUACUCGGACCGGCGUUAUUGAAGAACAUGGCUUGGAUAAGUGAAGUAGCGGCAUUAGCGACUUUAUACAUACAGCUAAGGUUAAUUAGCAUAUAGCUAGUUACGUAGAGCGUUAUACUUUCCUUUACCAAUCCCAAAUUCCCAACUUUAUUAAGCCGGUUGGUCAAAAAGAUUUGCUUGUGCUAAGGUUAAUUAGCACCAACUACUAGAUAACAAGCACCGUAUCUGCUGCGUUGACGUCAGCAGGGCCAGCCGCCCAAAAUUUCGACGCUGAUGAAGUGAUGAGUAGGAAUCGAGUCAUGGUUCUCGAUCUUCUUUUUUGAUCGAAGGAUGUAUAUAUAAUUUUCUCCAAAAUGUCCCUUUACAGAAUUACAGAGAUACCAGACACUACGCUAUAGUUCAUCCCAACCUUACCAAAACACACUUAAAAAAUUAACUAGAAAAAGGAGUGAGUGAUUUUACAGUUUGAGUAGGUAUCAAGAGGUUUAGCGUAUAUUUUUUUAUAUUUUAAUAACUCAAGUAUCCAGAGGUACCAUAUACACGUAAAAAAAAUAGUACAUCUAAGUAAAGGUUAAGGACCAUAAAAAUCCCCCCUCAUAUGUAGAUUCAAUAAAUAUGCAAGAUAACUUAAUAGACCCCUCGAGGGAAGGAGAGAAAAGGUUGUUCAGAACAUACAUACAAGGAUCACACCAUAACAAAAUUAUCUAAAAAAACAUUUUUUUAUGAAACUAUACAACAAUCACAAAAAUAAUUACAAAAUCCAUGUGUUCGUCCCAGUGAAUAAUGGUACUAUAGCUAGCUCAUGUUUGCAAUCAAAUUUUGACAUCACUCGAUACUAAUAUAUGAAAAAAGUUGGACUUCUUCAUAGAUAAAUAUAAACAAUAUUCGUUGAUUGCUCACAGGGGAAGAAAUCCCGUCAAAUAAUUUUAUUUUUACUAGUUCUAAUGGAGAAUAUGAUUAACAAAAGAGUAAAGUAAUUCCUUCGUUUUUUAAUAGAUGACUCUGUUGACUUUCGUCUUAUUUAAAAAUUUUAUGUAAAUGUAUAAGAUAAAAAUCAUGUUUAAAUACUUUUAGCGAUAAAACAACUCAUAACAAAUGUGUGAUAAAAAAAUAAUAGUGUCAUCUAUUAAAAAACAGAUAUAUUAUAUAUUAAAGACCAAGUUUCUAAAAAGUAAAUAGAAAACAAAACAUAAAUAAAAGAAAACAGCCUGAGUAGUUGCCAGUAUAAAAUAUACUCCUAUGCACAUGCAUGUAUGCGAGUAGUAAUAGCAUAAUCAUCUGUAAAAUACUUAUGUAUAGUACGUAUCUUGCGGUCUUGCCUUGUUCUUAUACUUCGUACUCUGAAGCCGUAGGAGCAAUUGUAGAACCAGACUCGCAGGACAUUGUACACGGCCGGGCGAGCAUAUUUACGCGGAAUAUGCCUCGAAACCGUCCUUGCGCCGUUUAAGACGAGUGGAAGCAGCCAAAAAAAAAAAACAGAGAGAGAAAGAAAGACCAAGGAAGACUUGACUCACCUGCAAGUAUUGGGCUAGUGGCUAAUGAAGUUCAUACACACACGUGACAAACUACCCAUCGACCACAUGGUUGCACAGUUGCACUCUGCAAAGUGUACCGGAUGAUCAUACAUUUAGGACUUUAUUGUUUGAUUAAAUUGUAUCGAUGGUACACAAACUUAUUACGUGAAUACGUGUUGCGAAAGAAAAAAAAAGAUACCACAUGACUAAUCUUCUUGAUUUAAGGGUUGAAUUUAGGAUACUACAUGAACAUAUAUAUAUAUAUAUAUAUAUAUAUAUAUAUAUAUAUAUAUAUAUAUAUAUAUAUGAAGGUUGCUAUUAGAUAUACAUCUUUCAAUAAAAUGAUAGAAUGAGAUAUAGUUAUCGUAGAAAAAGAUUGGAAAAUCAUUAGAAACAUAUAGAAUUCAUCAUUUCCAUUGAAGAAUAAAGUAGAGAGAAAAUUUAUAAAAAUGUCUAAAUAUAGCAUGUUUUGUGCAUAUAUACUCACUAAACGUAUGCACAUUACAUCGUAAUCAACAUAAUCUUCGUAAAAUUAACAUUGUCAAGCCAAUUUGGUUCUGUUUCACACAGACUAGACAAAUUCAUGGAGCGAAACAAGCAGUUUAUAAGUUUAUAUACUAAAUUGCACACACCUAACAAGUUUGUGUAUCACCGAUACAAUUUACUCUUGUAUGAGUUUGAGAGGAGAGGAAAAGAGAAGAUUGAGAAGAUACGCAAAACAAGGUGAGCCAUUAGUACAUAAUUAAUUAAGUAUUAACUAUUUUAAACUUCAAAAAUGGAUUUUAAAGCAAAUUUCAUAUAGAACAUUUUUGUUAAAAAAAUAUUAUGUUUAGUAGUUCGGGAAGUAUGCACGCGGAAAAUGAAACAAACAAACUCACUUUCACCUCCCCAUGAACACAGCGGCUAGCGCAGGCAGUUGCCCGGUCUCCGCCGGCUAGCAUACAGUCAUGCCCCCAAUAAAUUAAUCCUAAUUAGGGCCUGUUUGGUAGAGUUCCAACUCCUAAAUUUAGCUCCAGGAAUUGGGUAUGUAAUGGAGUCAUUUUGUGAGAGAGCUGCUCCAGCUCCAUCCAGCUCUGCUCCCAUUUUAGGUGGAGCUGAAACUGUUUGGCUAAGCUCCAGCUCCAGGAGAGGUGGAGGUGGAGCUGGAGCUGUGCCAAACAGACCCUUACUUUUGCUAUUGUCAUUGGGAGAAGCAGGAGUAUAGUGUACAUAGUUAAUUAACAUGCUUAGAACAAACUAAGAAAGCAAAUGCUCAACCCAAAACAAUCUAUAUAUUUGCAUAGAAUUGAGUAUACUUUAUAAUUUAUUGUAAGGCUCGCUCACGCUCAUAAAAAAUUCUAGAUCCGCGACUGAUUAUUUCCCAAGAUAGAAAGAAAUGUGUAUUUUGGAUCCCAAUGAUCGGAACCUCAUUUCCUGCGCACGCAAAACAUAGCGACGUAUUUUCUUAAGACUAAUUAAGUAUUUACUAUUUUUAAAAAAAGAAUUAAUAUGAUUUUUAAAGCAACUUUCGUAUAGAAAAUUUUUUGAAAAAAAAAUGUGCUGUUUAGCAGUUUGAAAAACGUGCGCGCGGAAAAUGAGGAAUGCGAGUUGGGAAAGUUUUGAAAAGAACUCAGCCAGUGAAAAUGCAUGGGAUGGCAAUGAAGAAUAAACUUGCUCAAGAUUAACUAAAUAUGAUUAAUUGAGUUUUAAUUAUUUUUAAACUUAAAAUAUGAAUUUUAUUUAAUGUUGUAAAGCAACUUCUAAAUAUAUAGGUGUAGAUUUUGUUCAGACUAAGUAUUGUAUAGCAGUUUAAAAAGCGUGCUAAUAAAAAUUGAGGUGUAAGUAAUGUGUGUAAUUACGAGAACGAGCCUACCUACCAGUGCCACCAUAACCACGCAUGCAAGAAUUAUUUUUUUAGAAAACAAAUCGUGGAAUCCUAUACGCCCAGGAUAUUGUACAAUCCAAAUGCCAACUGGCUAUCCUCCCCCCAAAGUCUCUCACAAUCUUGCGUGCUAAGGAAAAGCAGGGGAGAGGGGGUUGGGCCACCGCCCAAGUAAACGCCGACGACAUCUCCAUCCAUCCAUCCGAUCCGACCCGUCGCUUCCGCCGCGCCUCUCUCCGCUCCCUAUAUAAACCCCACCCCUCCCACUCCUCUCCUUCCGCCGACCACACCCCGAAUCCCCCUCCCUUUGCUUUUCUACUCCUCAACUCCGCUCCACUCUCCACCCGGGAUGGCGGACGCCACGCACGCCGCCGCCGAUGGCGGCGUCGCCACCAUCCUCGCCUCCGCCGACGGCAGGGACUUCCUCCUCCGCAACUCCGCCGACAAGGUCGACCACUCCCUCUUCUUUUCCUCCUCCCCCCUCUCUUUUGCUCUUGCGGAUUUGCUUUGCUUUGCUACUGCGAAUCUGCGAUUGUGCGCUUUCUUUGUUUGAUGCUCGCCCCCGAUCGACCGUACCGUGCGUGCGUGACGCGUCCUUGUUUCUUCUCGAUCGUGUGUGAAUUUGUGGGGGCGACUAGAAGUGGUGGUUGUCAGUCUGUAGUCUGUACCGUGCUAGUGUGAUCAGGGGUUUUCCGUGUCCAUGUGGGGUCGAUUGACGAUUGAUUGCGUUUGCUUGUGUCUAAGAAAUCACUAAUUAGUCUUCGGCAUAAUUGCAGAUAACAAUUAAUUGAACAUGUUUACAAAAAUUUAGUACUGUUAGUAUUAUGUCCGUAUUUCCUGUUCAGUCCAGCAAGCAUACUUAGUUCAGGCUUGGUGCCGUAUUUUCUUGUCACAAACAGUAGAGAAAUGAAGGGGGAGUGAGUUUGUUCUUUUCUUUCCUUUUGUUGAAAAAGACAUGGUGUGAAAUGUAUAGUAGAGUUCAUCAAAAAGUGAUGGAAUGUGGCAAAGUUCGAUUCCACCACACAUAGUACUAAACAACUUAGCUCUGCCUCUAUGAAAAUCGCAAAAUAUGCGAAAACAAUCAUGUCUUGUGUGAAAUCAAUAUGAGUAGGACUAAUUUGUUCUACACCACCAAAGUUUGUUUGCUCAAGGCCUUAUUGUCCUGCAGGUCAAGAUCAGUAGCAUCAAGGCAAGCACAGUGGCCCUCUACUUCUCGGCCUCAUGGUGCCCACCAUGCAGGCGCUUCACGCCUAAGCUUAUUGAAGCAUACAAUGAGCUGGUCUCCCAGGGAAAGAGCUUUGAGGUUGUCUUUGUUUCAGGGGAUAGUGAUCAAGACGCAUUCAAUGCCUACUUUGCAAAGAUGCCUUGGUUGGCAGUCCCCUUCUCAGACUCCGAGGCUCUCGCCAAGCUUAAUGAACGCUAUAAGGUGAUGGGUAUUCCACACCUUGUAAUCCUUGAUGCAAAAUCUGGUGAAAUUUACACUGAAGAUGGAGUGGAGCUUGUGCAUGAGUAUGGUACAGAAGCUUACCCUUUUACAACAGAGAGGAUCAAUGAAUUGAAGGAACAGGAAAAGGCAGCUAAAGAUAAUCAAACUAUUCAUAGUCUGUUUGGUACACCCACCCGCGACUACUUAAUCACCAACAAGGGAGACAAGGUAACUGAUCGAUGACAGUUCUUUAUUGUCUUUUACAUGAUUUUGCAGAUCCAGACAUUCUUAGCUGUUUUCUUCUUGUUGAUGGUACCCAGG